UCACUUUCACUACUCCACAAACCCAUCUACGUGCUAUUCCUGAAAGAAAGAGAAACUAUGGCGGAAGGAGCUUUGUUCUAUCUUGCUGGGAAAGUCAUUAAUGUGCUCGGCUCUUUCACUGCUGAAGAGGUCAAACUGGCCUGUUGUGUCAAAACCGAGAUUGAAAAUCUAAAGAGCAGAGUCUCCAUGAUCCAAGCUGUGAUUCUAGAUGCAGAAAAGCAGAGUUCUCAUAACCAUCUGAUCGAAGUCUGGCUCAGUAUGCUCAAAGAAGUCUGGCUUAUUAUGCUCAAAUAAAAGGAAACUUAAACGGCUUAAAAAGAGAUACUUGAAAAACGCACAGUAUCUCUUUUUGAGCCUUUUAAGUUUUCCUUUCAUUUGCAAGAGGGUAUAGCGUUUUCUGGAUCGGUUUUUAAACUCAUCUGUGACAAAUGGCCAAUUGUCUUUCUUCAUUUUCCCAUUAGGAGUGUUCCCUUCAGCUGCUUCUUAUAACAAAAAAUCAAUGAGAGAAUGGCUGAAUGAGAAGACUGACUUUGAAGUCAAGAGAAGAAUGAGAGAAUGGCUGAAUGAGUCUAAUUUGUUCAUUCAUGCACAAAUUCAAGGGUUGUUCUGCUCAAAACAAAACCCAAAUUUAAGAACGUUUGGUUUUUCCAUUGGUUGGUAAUUUGGCACUUCCUCUCUCUGCUAAAGCCGUGGUCCUUUCUUCUUGAAUUUUGACUGUUGAGACAAAAUUCAAGAACCUGCCCUGUUCAAAACUCUCUGGCCUUGAAAUCGUGUAACAAGUAGUGGACUCAAUGAAACAGAGAAACUUUUACUACUUGAGGGGAGUGUCUACCAUGCCAGCUAACAAUGAAGGAGUUAUCUUAUUAAAUGGAUUCUGUUUGGUCAAUUAUUUUCUUUAUAUAUAUGCUUAAAACAUGAUCUUAUGUAUUCUAGAAAUUGAUUUGCACAGUGUCAUUGGGUAAUUGGUAAACAACUAAUGAUUUAUGUAGUUUAUGGGUUGAGACAAUAAGGCUGAAUAAUUUGUUCAUUUUCCAAAUGUUUCUGAAGAAUUCAUUUAAGUCAAAAGUAUAAAUGAGAUAGAGUCUAGUGGGUUUAUUUAGUCUAGUGUGUCUGGACAGCACAAAUCUAAUGGUAAAUUAUCUAACAGAUUUCAGAAUACCCUCGUUUUUUUAACUUCCUUAUGUAAUGUUCUAUGUUGGGUUAUUAAUGCUCAAAGCAGCAUCCAAACUUAGGAACUUUUCAUUUUCUUUGAGGUUGGCGUUUUUUCUACUUGUCUACCUCCUAAAGCCCCUUUGGUUCUUUACUUUUUGUCGUGCAGACUCUGUAUUAAUAUUGGGCAACAUUGCACAUGUUCUUUUCUCUAAUAUCUCCAUGUCCUUUUAUUUGCUUCUUUUCUACCGAACUUUAUCUCAUACUUAUUUGACAGGCUUUUGCAUUUGGUUUCUGUAUCAAGCAAUACAUAGACCAGGUGAAAUCUGGCACUUCUUGACCAUGAGUUACAAUUGUUCUAGAGGGCGAAUCCUGACUACAAUGCGCGAGGAAAUGGCAUGGAGCUAUUAUCCAUAGGAGAGUGUGGCAUUGAAACCAAAAGGAUUUUCAAAGAUGGUUCUACAAAAAUCAGGCAUCAUCUUUCUAUAGAUUGAUUUUCUCUUUUAGUGCAGUCUGGAGCUCAUUGCUGUGUACAAUUGAUAAUUUCAAGUGCAGGGAAAACUUGUGCUUGCUCCAUUGAUGGAGUUUGAGACUUCCACAACAAAGGACCUCUUUGUUUGGAUGGAGGCCACUGUGUCGUCUUUGAAACUAUUUUCAACAAUGUCUUAAGGAGAGCCAUUGUUUUGGAUUAAUAGAGUGGCAAAUAGAGAUGACAGUUCCACUAAGCAUACAACCCAUCUCAUAACUCCUUUUUCUGUGAGAGGGAUGUCGGCCAUUAUAUGGACAUGUAGUUCCCCAUAGAAGGGUUAUCGAGUGGAGACUAUACAACAUUAAGCUGACGAAGGGAAAUUUACAUUUGUCUUGAAUCUAGCUAUAAUAAGGAAGAUAUCUAAGAUCACAUAAUGAUGUCGAUUGGUCAGUUUUGUCCUGUUGAUGAAGUAUUAGUCAUCUUCAAAUGUUUUGGGAGAGAAAUGAGGACAAUUGAGUGGAUCAGGUCAUUUCAUCCAGAAUGCUGAAUUCGCAAUUCUCAACAUGUUGAAAAUUGUUGUCUGCUAGAUUAUCAAAUAUAUCAUUUCGUCUUCAAAUUUCAUGAUUUGGCCCAUUUGGUGGUCAACUUUGUGUGAGGUUUUGGUGGAUCAACUUAUUGGGUUCCUUAUUAUAACUAGGGUGCUCUUUGUACUUGUAUGGCAUUGCCAAUUAAGGUUUUGAAUAUAUAUUUUUUCUUGUGGGGAUGGAAACAUUGGAAAGAAAUUCUACUUGUCUA